GGAAGGUUGGCAGAGUGGUAAUGCACCGGCUUGCUAAGCCGGCGUCCCGCAAGGGGCACACAGGUUCGAUCCCUGUGCCUUCCGCCA
rnacentral:tRNA from 1 species